rnacentral:rRNA from 1 species
CCUACGGGGGGCAGCAGUGGGGAAUAUUGGACAAUGGGCGAAAGCCUGAUCCAGCCAUGCCGCGUGUGUGAAGAAGGCCUUCGGGUUGUAAAGCACUUUCAGUGGGGAAGAAAGCCUUGGGGCUAAUACCCUCGAGGAAGGACAUCACCCACAGAAGAAGCACCGGCUAACUCCGUGCCAGCAGCCGCGGUAAUACGGAGGGUGCGAGCGUUAAUCGGAAUUACUGGGCGUAAAGCGCGCGUAGGCGGUCUGAUAAGCCGGUUGGGAAAGCCCCGGGCUCAACCUGGGAACGGCAUCCGGAACUGUCAGGCUAGAGUGCAGGAGAGGAAGGUAGAAUUCCCGGUGUAGCGGUGAAAUGCGUAGAGAUCGGGAGGAAUACCAGUGGCGAAGGCGGCCUUCUGGACUGACACUGACGCUGCGGUGCGAAAGCGUGGGUAGCAAACAGGAUUAGAUACCCGGGUAGUC